GCGGUCAUUGUUUAGUGGUAGAACGCGUCCUUGCCAAGGACGAGACGCGGGUUCGAUUCCCGCUGACCGCA
rnacentral:tRNA from 1 species